CUACGGGUUGCAGCAGUGGGGAAUAUUGGACAAUGGGGGAAACCCUGAUCCAGCAAUGCCGCGUGUGUGAAGAAGGCCUGCGGGUUGUAAAGCACUUUCGGUUGGGAGGACUGCUUCCAGCACUAAUAUUGUUGGAAGUUGACGUUACCUUCAGAAGAAGCACCGGCUAACUCCGUGCCAGCAGCCGCGGUAAUACGGAGGGUGCAAGCGUUAAUCGGAAUUACUGGGCGUAAAGCGCGCGUAGGCGGCUAGAUCAGUCGGGUGUGAAAGCCCCGGGCUUAACCUGGGAACUGCAUCCGAUACUGUCUAGCUUGAGUACAGGAGAGGAGAGUGGAAUUCCACAUGUAGCGGUGAAAUGCGUAGAUAUGUGGAGGAACACCAAUGGCGAAGGCAGCUCUCUGGCCUGAUACUGACGCUGAUGUGCGAAAGCGUGGGGAGCAAACAGGAUUAGAUACCCCUGUAGUC
rnacentral:rRNA from 1 species